CUUCGGCCCGAGUUGUAAUUUGCAGAGGAAGUAUUUGGCGCGGUGCCUUCCGAGUUCCCUGGAACGGGACGCCAUAGAGGGUGAGAGCCCCGUCUGGUUGGACACCAAGCCUGUGUAAUACUCCUUCGACGAGUCGAGUAGUUUGGGAAUGCUGCUCUAAAUGGGAGGUAAAUCUCUUCUAAAGCUAAAUACCGGCCAGAGACCGAUAGCGCACAAGUAGAGUGAUCGAAAGAUGAAAAGCACCUUGAAAAGGGGGUUAAACAGUACGUGAAAUUGUUGAAAGGGAAGCGUUUAUGACCAGACUUGUGCCGUGUGGCUCAUCCGGGGUUCUCCCCGGUGCACUCCACACGGUUCAGGCCAACAUCGGUUCUCGUUGGGGGAUAAGAACAGUAGGAACGUAGCCCUCUUCGGAGGGUGUUAUAGCCUAUUGUACGAUACCUUGAUGGGGACCGAGGACCGCGCUUCGGCUAGGAUGUUGGCGUAAUGGUCAUUAGCGACCCGUCUU
rnacentral:rRNA from 1 species